rnacentral:rRNA from 1 species
UACGUAGGGUGCGAGCGUUGUCCGGGAAUUAUUUGGGCGUAAAGAGCUCGUAGGCGGUCUGUCGCGUCGAAUGUGAAACCCCGGGGCUCAACUCCGGGCUUGCAUUCGAUACGGGCAGGCUAGAGUUGGUAGGGGGAGUCUGGAAUUCCUGGUGUAGCGGUGAAAUGCGCAGAUAUCAGGAGGAACACCGGUGGCGAAGGCGGGACUCUGGGCCGAUACUGACGCUGAGGAGCGAAAGCGUGGGGAGCGAACAGG